rnacentral:lncRNA from 1 species
GGGUACUUAAAUUAAAAUUGGGAAAGGGUACUCAAGCCAAACAAAUAUGGUGUCUAUUAUAUGAUUAUAAUUAUUUCUUAGAUAGAAAAUCGGUAUCGGAAAAAACGGUUUUGGCAGGUCAGACCUCCUUUAAAAACGGAAAUCGGUAUCGGCCAAGAAUAUUGCAAUCGGUGCAUCUCUACCGUUAUGCUCCACAAGGUGAUGAGGGGUAUACUAUGAUUCUUCUGUCUGUGAGACUUGUUCAGGUUUGAGUUUUUCACAUAACCAGCUUGAUUUAGUUUACUGAUUUCAGGGUUUUUCCUGGCUCAAAUUGAGGCAGAGGUGGCACCAUCCUGACCAUGCGCCAUGACGUGCAUGUAUUUGUAAAUUCAACUGACUCAUUUUCUUUUACAGGCAACAUACUUUAAGUUAAGAGUUCAAAAAAGAGUGUGACCAUUAUCAUGUUAAAGCAUUCAUUUAUUAAAACUAUAUACAUACACAAAUCAGCUGGCAACUUUAAAUUGAAAGUACACUUCAUCCACACAUCUCACAACCAGACAGAACAUUUCAGCCUCCUCUUUUUCAUUCUGUAGAACCUCCUCAUGCACUCCUUGUAGUCCAAGGCCUCCUGGUCUGGUCCAUCAACGGCCACCUUACAACAGACAGAAGUGCCUUUCCUUCAGUCUGUUCCGCAGAGGUGUCUUCACCUUAAACAAAACAAUUCAUCAUGCAUUAAGUAUUUUUGUUUUUAUUCUGAUACAGACAUGAAGAGUGAUAGUGUUUUAAUCAUAUAUUAUAUAUAUGUAUACGUUGCAGUGUCCUCCCUAAAAAAACGACAACCAAUUAUUUCUUAAACUAUCUAAACUAUGUUAUUUUAGUUUUUGUAACUUUAUUAGUUGAGUGUUUUUAGGUACUACAAUCUUUAAUAUACUUCUCCUUCUCUUCUGCUGCUUUGUGAACGGCUGUCACCUCAUGUCUUUUUAAUGUGUCCAGCCUGUAGUUGGUUGAUGGCUGUCUCACUAAGGAGGCAGCAAUUGCCUGCUGUGUUGGGGCACAGUGCUUUUGGCAUAAAUAGCAGUGCAUACCUUCCUCAGUAUGCCUGAGCCAGGUAAAUUGAUUGAGCCACUGCUUGUCAAAGCCACUGGCUCUGUGUUUUUGAGAAGAUCUAGAAAGAGAAAUAAAAACCACGUACACGUUGGUUUUGCGUUGUUAUGCUCCUAAUUGGAAACUAAUUAAUUAAUUACCCUCACCUCGCCGACUCGUCCUGUCCUGCAUUCUGACCCUCGCGAUCACCAGUCCCUUGUGAAGUACUUUCAGACCUGACACAAAUGUCCACGUUGUCCCCACCAUGAGUUAUAGCAUUUUAACUGCCUGUUACGUUUUUUCUCUGCUGUGUUUCACCUGGACUCUUGACUUUCCUCCUCGUGAGGUCGCUUUUUAAAGUACUGGCUGAUUUUGCCUGUCAUAUCUGCAACGCUAAAAAAACGGAGGAAACUUUUUUUUUAAUAAACACGUCAUGCUUGGAUGCAAAAAAGACAAGCAGUAUUUACCUGUUUGUACCAGCCGCCGGGGAAAAUCAGGUCGCCGAUAGCACCAACUAGCGGGAAAAAAACUUGAAAAAACAUGAUUCGAUCCGUUUCUUCUUCGGUAGAUGCUUCAGGUCUUUCCGGUGCACUGCUGUUGAUAUAGCGCCUUUAUAGUGGCGCAACGCUGCAACUGCAGUUAAAAUACGUUGCUGCUGCAAAGGGACAUCAUACACUCAAUCAACACAGCUGGAGCUUUACGCUGUGUUGAGCGAAAUCAAUGGCUCUGGCUGGGGGCGGCACAAAAUUAGGUGGAGGCGGCCGCCACGCAAUUUUGAACGCAGGAAAAACCCUGUGAUUUCAUUAUUGUAUAUGUCCGCUAAUUCAGGAUUAUUUUGAAGUUUGCGUUCAGAUGGACGGAGAAGGGGCAUAACAGAUUCUGCAGGGGCUUUUAGUUCAGGUGCAUCCUUUUCUCUUUGUAAAGGGGUUGCAUAGCGUUUGGUGCCAUCUGUUUCAACUCUCACAGUUUUCUUAUCCAGGAGGUCUAUGGUGUCUUUAUCUUGUUUUGACCUUGUGAUUAAUUUUUCAUUUCUAAAGGGAAGGAUAUCAGUUUGCCACAGUUGUUCUACGUGGUGUUUAAGUUCUGAGUAGGGGUUAACUGCUGAUGUUAAAAAGCACUGGGUAGAGGAAGGUUGAUCCUUGAAGAGCCCAUCCUAGACGUGUUCUCACUGCAGCUGGAGCUCCCUUUGAUCCAUAUUGGACUCUCUCUAUAGGUGUGAUCAGGAAAGGAUUGUCAAAUCCAUUGAGGAUGUGUGGCUGGACUUUGGAAAAGGAGCUUAGUGGGAAACCUUGCAAAUAGGGAAAGCGUUGCUUGAGUUUAUCCACAGGGUAACUUUGCUCAACAAGCAUUAUCAUGUCAGAAGUGAAGGCUCUGUCAAUUGAGAAUUUUUUUCUCAGGGCUUGAUGCAGCAGAGAUUUUAGGGUUAACAGUUUUUCCUUUCAAAGUUUCUGUUUGCUGCCUCACUGUUCACAGCUCAAGGUUUUCUGUUUCACCAUCCAGCCCAAGUUACUCUGCAGCACCUGGUCGUAGCAUUGUAUGCUCAGAUCUAUCAUCUAAGAUGACAUAUGUGUCAAGCAGUCUAUUGUUAUGGUGAAGACUCACUUUUACUGCUUUUAGCAACACUUUGGAUGCUAGGCUUCGUGGGUUCAGAUACAACACUCUAGAUGCUGACUGGGUUUUAUUUACAUUAUGUAGUACACCUAGGUGAAGGCCAUUACAUUUGGGACAGGGUUUUUUUUAGAGUGCAAUUAGCUGCUUUAUGGGUUCUUCCACAUUUCCAACAUCUAUUUUCUUCUUUUAGCCACUUAGACACUUUCUCGGGUUCUAAUUCUUUUAAACUUUCACAGUUUGUUACAGUGGUGGUUCUAGACUAAAUUACUCCCCGGGCGAGACCCCCUCCAAGACGACAAGAGUUAAUACAAAACCGCUUUGCGGUGCAGAUUUAUUAUAAUUAUCUUCUUUCUUUCUUUUUUGGAAGUGCUCGUGCCACCCCCCAAGAGUCAUGACACAAAUGCCGCCCCGGGCGGCUGCCCUGUUCGCCCGUGCCUAGAGCCGCUACUGGUUUGUUCGGUAGUGGGAGGUAGAUUGACAAAAGGCACAUGGGUACCUUCUUUCAGGCUGUUGUUCAUAACCAGAAGCACUUGGGCAGUGAGUAAACCUCUGGUCAGAUCCAUGGUGGAUCGUGGUAGGAUGCUUGAGCCUGUAGCUUGAUUCCUUUCUUUGAGUUUGAGGUGUGCUGAUUUGGAGACUGCUGGCUUGUGCUACCAUAGCUUGACGUUCUGCCUCUCCCUCAAGCCAAACUGAAAAUUCCACUAUAUUAUAAUGAAAGGUCGGGGAAACUGAGCGGGCAUGUCUUGCAAAGUUUGAGACUACCUUUACGGGGAGUUUAUUUAAUAAUCUCUGGACAUGUGAAGCACAUGCUAAUUCUGCUGCACUUUUCUCUGAAUUGAGUGAUUGCAACAUCCCUACUAAUAAGGCUGCAUGAUAUUGGAAAAAACUAAUAUUGCGAUUUUUUUCAUCCCUGCGAUAUAUAUUGCGAUAUUAAAAAAUAUAGGAAUUUUCACCAGAUGACCUGAAUAGCACUUAAUGUUAUGCUGCACUGCUGAAAUCUUGAGGACAGUUAACCUGCUCUGAUCUUACCUCUUUUUGUGAAUGUUAGUAGAACGGCUUCUGUCUCAGAGAUAUUUUUAGCUUUUAUUGUGCUGGGACGUUAUUGUGGAAACAGAUAAACACAGAAGACGUGUUUUGGUCGACAUUAUCCAUCUUGUAACCGAAAUAAUUCCAGAUAACUGACUUUCCUUUUGUUUUUUGGCAACAAGUCUUCAUCUUCUGUGGUUUUCUUUGUUCGUUGCUCAGUUUGCGAUUGUUGUUGUUGUUACCAGGGUGCUGAGAAACGCAUGUCCUCCGAAAAUUGCAUGCACCUCACAAAACGCACACUGCUUAUAGUAGAGUGGUCCACGGAAAUGUACAAUUUAAAACCCAUACAGUUCUUAUUUGUUGGGCUAAACAGUGAUGAAGAAUGUUCCGAAAGUAAUUGUCAGCGGACAUGCGUUUCUCAGCACAAUAUAAUAAUUAUAAUAAUUAUAAUUAUUAUAAUCCCAUGUGAAAACUGAAGACCUUAAAAAUUGCAGAUAGGAGACUUUGAGCUAUGUACACAUUUGUACAGCAAUAAACUAAUAUUUUCAUGUUGCUUCAAACUAAGGUGAGUGGAGUGAAGAGACAGAGAGAUGGAAGUUAGUUUGUGUAAACUACCCCACUUGCAGAUCUGAUAAAUGUUAGUUGUAAAGGUUAUCUGAGGCCACAGUUAAUCAUAUUAAAUUUUUUGUAUGUUGCUGACUAAGAUACACUGCAUGUGACUCUGCAUGUGCUGUUCAGCGAUCCACCAAUCACCUUCGUCCUUUACUCAGUUGCCAAUCAGACUCAGUUCUCAGUUGCCAAUCAGACUACCCUGCCAGCUGUCAAUCAAAAUCAGAGAGGAGGAAACCCACCCCUGCACAUGUUCUGCACAUGGAGUUACUCACUGGCUGCUGGUGUUGAGCCGAGAAACGCGUGUCCGCUGAGAAUUACUUUCGGAACUUUACUCAUGACUGUUAAGCCCAAACAAAUAAGAACUGUAUGGGUUUGUAUAUUUCCGUGGACCACUAUACUGUAAGCGGUGCGCGUUUUGCGAGGUGCAUGCAAUUGACGGAGGACAUGCGUUUCUUGGCACAACACCGCUAACAACAACAACGAUUUCAAAAUGAGCAACGAACAAGAGAAAACCACCGAAAAUGAAGAUUUGUUGCCAAAAAGAAAAGGAAAGGUUAACUGUCCUCAAGAUUUCAGCAGUGCAGCAUAACAUUAAAUGCUAUUCAGGUCAUCUGGUGAAAAUUCCUAUAUUUUUAAUAUCGCAAUAUACACUCACCGGCCACUUUAUUAGGUACACCAUGAUAGUAACGGGUUGGACCCCCUUUUGCCUUCAGAACUGCCUCAAUUCUUCGUGGCAUAGAUUCAACAAGGUGCUGGAAGCAUUCCUCAGAGAGCUUGGUCCAUAUUGACAUGAUGGCAUCACACAGUUGCCGCAGAUUUGUCGGCUGCACAUCCAUGAUGCGAAUCUCCCGUUCCACCACAUCCCAAAGAUGCUCUAUUGGAUUGAGAUCUGGUGACUGUGGAGGCCAUUUGAGUACAGUGAACUCAUUGUCAUGUUCAAGAAACCAGUCUGAGAUGAUUCCAGCUUUAUGACAUGGUGCAUUAUCCUGCUGAAAGUAGCCAUCAGAAGUUGGGUACAUUGUGGUCAUAAAAGGAUGGACAUGGUCAGCAACAAUACUCAGGUAGGCUGUGGCGUUGCAACGAUGCUCAAUUGGUACCAAGGGGCCCAAAGAGUGCCAAGAAAUUAUUCCCCACACCAUGACACCACCACCACCAGCCUGAACCGUUGAUACAAGGCAGGAUGGAUCCAUGCUUUCAUGUUGUUGACGCCAAAUUCUGACCCUACCAUCCGAAUGUCGCAGCAGAAAUCGAGACUCAUCAGACCAGGCAACGUUUUUCCAAUCUUCUAUUGUCCAAUUUCGAUGAGCUUGUGCAAAUUGUAGCCUCAGUUUCCUGUUCUUAGCUGAAAGGAGUGGCACCCGGCGUGGUCUUCUGCUGCUGUAGCCCAUCUGCCUCAAAGUUCGACGUACUGUGCGUUCAGAGAUGCUCUUCUGCCUACCUUGGUUGUAACGGGUGGUUAUUUGAGUCACUGUUGCCUUUCUAUCAGCUCGAACCAGUCUGGCCAUUCUCCUCUGACCUCUGGCAUCAACAAGGCAUUUCCGUCCACAGAACUGCCGCUCACUGGAUAUUUUUUCUUUUUCGGACCAUUCUCUGUAAACCCUAGAGAUGGUUGUGCGUGAAAAUCCCAGUAGAUCAGCAGUUUCUGAAAUACUCAGACCAGCCCUUCUGGCACCAACAACCAUGCCACGUUCAAAGUCACUCAAAUCACCUUUCUUCCCCAUACUGAUGCUCGGUUUGAUCUGCAGGAAAUUGUCUUGACCAUGUCUACAUGCCUAAAUGCACUAAGUUGCCGCCAUGUGAUUGGCUGAUUAGAAAUUAAGUGUUAACGAGCAGUUGGACAGGUGUACCUAAUAAAGUGGCCGGUGAGUGUAUAUCGCAGGGUUGAAAAAAAUCGCAAUGUUAGUUUUUUCCAAUAUCGUGCAGCCUUACCUAUGCCAUAGAAUUGAGGUGGUGUAAAGAAGCAGCAGACGGGUUGUUGGUUUGAUGAGUCGGUGGAGGAGUGGGAGCAGAGUCAAAUCUAUUGAAGAACAAAUUCAGCUCGUUGGCCCACUCCCUGUCUCCUGCUUCAGGUCCCCUCUCGUGGCCCCAGCUGUGACCUGAGAUGGAUUUCAGGCCUCUCCAGACUUCCCUCGCGUUGUUCUGUUGCAGAAGGUUUUCCAUCUUGGUCUUAUAGCUGGACCUCCCCUCUCUUAUAUUCUUCUUCAGCUCCCUCUGCACCCUCCUCGUCU